rnacentral:lncRNA from 10 species
GGAGCGGUCUGGGAAUGUUAGGAGGUCUAGGGUAUCGCGGCCCUGCGUCCUCUUGUCUGGACUAAAAGUCCGGGCAGUUCUCCCCGGACCUGGAUUGUGGGCCCAGCGACAGGUGCUUGGCGAUCUGUGCCCGCUGUGCCUGCGGGGCUGUGGUGGGAGUCCUGUCUGCACGGUAUUCUGUGUGGCUGUGCAUAACCCAGAAGAGGAGAGAACUGCUGUGCGUCUGAAGUGAUGGCGGAGAUGUGAUCUUGUUUAAUCCACAUAACAACCCUAUUAGACAGGGCUUUCUGAUACUAAGCCAAAUGUGAUCUCCUUAUUGGAGCAGAAGAAAGAGCCCUGGAUGGUUAAGAGGAAGGAGACAAAAGAAUGGUGUCCAGAUUGGGAGUUUGGAAGAGAAACCAAGAAUUUAUCUCCAAAGGAAAACAUUUAUGAAAUUAGAUCACCACAACAGGAGAAGGCCAGAGUUAUCAGAGAAAUCAGAUGCCAGGUGGAGAGACAACAGGGUCAUCAGGAGGG